rnacentral:rRNA from 1 species
GACAGAGGCCCCAAGCGUUAGGCGGAAUCACUGGGCUUAAAGCGUGUGUAGGCGGAUCGUUAAGUGUCUUGUGAAAUCCCUCGGCUUAACCGGGGAACUGCGUCCGAUACUGGAUGGCUUGAGUUUGGGAGAGGGAUGCGGAAUUCCAGGUGUAGCGGUGAAAUGCGUAGAUAUCUGGAGGAACACCGGUGGCGAAGGCGGCAUCCUGGACCAACACUGACGCUGAUGAGCGAAAGCCAGGGGAGCAAACGGG